rnacentral:rRNA from 1 species
UACGGAGGGUGCAAGCGUUAAUCGGAAUUACUGGGCGUAAAGCGUGCGUAGGCGGUUUGUUAAGUCCGUUGUGAAAGCCCCGAGCUCAACUUGGGAAUUGCAGUGGAUACUGGCAGGCUGGAGUACGGUAGAGGAAGGUGGAAUUCCGGGUGUAGCGGUGGAAUGCGUAGAGAUCCGGAAGAACACCAGUGGCGAAGGCGGCCCGCUGGGCAGUGGCUGACGCUGAGGCGCGACAGCGUGGGGAGCAAACAGG